rnacentral:rRNA from 1 species
UACGGAGGGAGCAAGCGUUACUCGGAAUUAUUGGGCGUAAAGGGCGCGUAGGCGAUUUGAAAAGUCUUGUGUGAAAGCCCCGAGCUUAACUCUGGAGGUGCACAAGAAACUGUUGAAUUUGAGUUCCGGAGAGGAAGGCAGAAUUCCCGGUGUAGCGGUGAAAUGCGUAGAUAUCGGGAGGAAUACCAGUGGCGAAGGCGGCCUUCUGGACGGAUACUGACGCUGAGGCGCGAAAGCCAGGGGAGCAAACGGG